rnacentral:rRNA from 1 species
UGGGGAAUAUUGGACAAUGGGCGAAAGCCUGAUCCAGCCAUGCCGCGUGUGUGAAGAAGGCCUUAUGGUUGUAAAGCACUUUAAGCGAGGAGGAGGGUACUGGUAUUAAUACUACCAGGUACUGGACGUUACUCGCAGAAUAAGCACCGGCUAACUCUGUGCCAGCAGCCGCGGUAAUACAGAGGGUGCAAGCGUUAAUCGGAAUUACUGGGCGUAAAGCGCGCGUAGGUGGUUCGUUAAGUUGAAUGUGAAAGCCCCGGGCUCAACCUGGGAACUGCAUCCAAAACUGGCGAGCUAGAGUAGGGCAGAGGGUGGUGGAAUUUCCUGUGUAGCGGUGAAAUGCGUAGAUAUAGGAAGGAACACCAGUGGCGAAGGCGACCACCUGGGCUCAUACUGACACUGAGGUGCGAAAGCGUGGGGAGCAAACAGG